rnacentral:rRNA from 1 species
AGUGAAUAGAUACCCGGGUAGUCUACGCCGUAAACGAUGCGCACUAGGCACGAGGGUUCUGACGACCUCGUGCCGCAAAGAAAAAAACCGUAGAAGUGCGCCGCCUGGGGAGGUACGGCCGCAAGGACUAAAACUACAAAGGAAUUGACGGGGGCGUCACACAAGCGGUGGAGCAUGUGGAUCAAUUCGAAGCAACGCGAAGAACCUUACCUGGGUUUGACAUGCACGGAUGGUCUCGGUGAAAGCUGAGUAAUCUGCCUUCGGGUGAAACGUGCACAGGUGCUGCAUGGCUGUCGUCAGCUCGUGCUGUGAAGUGUCGGGUUUAAGUCCCUUAACGAGCGAAACCCUUGUCGCUAGUUACCAGCGGGUCAUGCCGGGGUACUCUAGCGAGACUGCCGGCGUUAAGCCGGAGGAAGGUGGGGACGGACGUCAA